rnacentral:antisense_RNA from 1 species
GCCCGUGGGGGCAGGACGGCAGCCUCCCCGAAGCACAGGGCCAGGUGCUGAGCUGGGAAGGCACCAUCAUAACGCCCUGGAGGGCCGGGCUUGAAAUGAGAACUCAGAAAACCACACCAGAGCAUAGCCCACCUCCCUUCUCUUCCCUGACCGUGCCCCCCAGCAGAGGACCCUGGCCCACAGCCAAGCCACACCCACGCCACUCCUGCGAACAGCCACUUCCAGUGUUCGCAGACCCUAGGAUCCCUUUACAGUUUCUGAGCACAAGACUCCAGCCUGCCCAUGUGAUUUCACUC